GAUCCUGGCUCAGGACGAACGCUGGCGGCGUGCUUAACACAUGCAAGUCGAACGCUGAAGCCCAGCUCGCUGGGUGGAUGAGUGGCGAACGGGUGAGUAACACGUGAGUAACCUGCCCCCCUUCUUUGGGAUAACGCCCGGAAACGGGUGCUAAUACUGGAUAUUCACUGAUCUUCGCAUGGGGGUUGGUGGAAAGGUUUUUUCUGGUGGGGGAUGGGCUCGCGGCCUAUCAGCUUGUUGGUGGGGUGAUGG
rnacentral:rRNA from 1 species